rnacentral:lncRNA from 1 species
CGAGCUUAUCAGGUUGAAAACCUUUUUCACAUAAGCAUCGUAGCCCCAAAUUUUAAGAAACGACAACUUUGGUUUCUUGCUAAACCAUAGUUCAUACGGUGUCGUCUCAAUGGAUUUAGAUGGUGCUCUAUUUAACGUGAAUGCAGCUGUCUCUAAUGCAUAACCCCAAAACGAUAGUGGUAAAUCGGUAAGAUACAUCAUAGAUCGCACCAUAUCUAAUAAAGUGCGGUUAUGACAUUUGGAAACACCAUUACGCUGUGGUGUUCCAUGUGGCGUGAGCUGUGAAACUAUUCCACAUUGUUUUAUAUGAAGGCCAAAUUCGUAACUCAAAUAUUCUCCUCCACGAUCAGAUCGUAGAAACUUUAUUUUCUUGUUACGAUGAUUCUCCACUUCACUCUAAAAUUCUUUGAACUUUUCAAAUGUUUCAGACUUGUGUUUCAUUAAGUAGAUAUACCCAUAUCUGGUCAAAUCAUCUGUGAAGGUCAAAAAAUAUCGAUACUUGCCACGAGCAUCAACACUCAUUGGAUCGCAUACAUCGGUAAGUAUUAUUUCCAAUAAGUCAGUAGCUCGUUCCAUUGUUUCGGAGAACUGAGUUUUAGUCAUCUUGCCCAAAAAGGCAUGGUUCACAAGCAUCAAAUGAUUCAUAAUCAAGUGAUUCCAAAAGUUCAUUUUUAUGGAGUUUCUUCAUGCACUUUACACCGAUAUGACCCAAACGGCAGUGCCACAAAUAUGUUGCACUAUCAUUAUCAACUUUGCAUCUUUUGGCAUCAAUAUUAUGAAUAUGUGUAUCAGUACGAUCGAGAUCCAACAAACUAUUUUCAUUGGGUGUAUGACCAUUGAAGGUUUUAUUCAUGUAAACAGAACCACAAUUAUUCUCUGACUUUAAAUGAAUAACCGUAUUGCAAUAAACAUGAUCAAAUCAUAUUCAUGCUCAACGCAAACGCCAAAUAAAAUUUAUUUAGGUUUAACACUAAUCCCGAAAGUAUAGGGAGUGUGUGAUGAUGAUCAUAUCAAUCUUGGAACUACUUCCAACACUCAUCGUCACUUCCCCUUCAACUAGUAUCUGUUUAUUCUGUAACUCCUAUUUCGAGUUACUAAUCUUAACAAUCAAACAAGUAUCAAAUACUCAGGGGCUACUAUAAACACUAGUAAGGCACACAUCAAUAACCUGUAUAUCAAAUAUACCCUUGUUCACUUUGCCAUCCUUCUUAUCCACCAAAUAUUCAGGGCAUUUCCGCUUCCAGUGACCAUUUCCUUUGCAGUGUAAGCACUCAUUUUCAGGCUUUGGUCCAACUUUGGGCUUCUUCACGGGAGUGACAACUUGCUUGUCAUUCUACUUGAAGUUCCCUUUCUUUCCCUUUGCCCUUUUCUUGAAACUAGUGGUCUUGUCAGUCAUCAACACUUGAUGCUUUUUUCUUGAUUUCUACCUUCGUCGAUUUCAACAUCAUGAAGAGCUCGGGAAUCGUUUUCGUCAUCCCUUGCAUACUAUAGUUCAUCACGAAGUUCUAGUAAGUUGGUGAUGGUGACUAGAGAACUCUGUCAAUCACUAGCUUAUCUGGAAGAUUAACUCCCACUUGAUUCAAGCGAUUGUAGUACCCAGACAAUCUGAGCACACGCUCACUAGUUGAGCAAUUCUCCUCCAUCUUUUAGCUAUAGAACUUGUUGGAGACUUCAUAUCUCUCAACUCGGGUAUUUGCUUCAAAUAUUAACUUCAACUCCUGGAACAUCUCAUAUGGUCCAUAACGUUCAAAACGUCUUUGAAGUCCCGAUUCUAAGCCGUUAAGCAUGGUGCACUAAACUAUCAAGUAGUCAUCAUAUUGAGCUAGCCAAACGUUCAUAACGUCUGCAUCUACUCCUGCAAUAGGUCUGUCACCUAGCGGUGCAUCAAGGACAUAAUUCUUCUGUGCAGCAAUCAGGAUAAACCUCAGAUCACGGACCUAAUCCACAUCAUUGCUACUAAUAUAUUUCAACAUAGUUUUUCCCUAGGAACAUAUCAAAAAUAAACAUAGGGAAGCAACAAUGCGAGCUAUUGAUCUACAACAUAAUUUGCAAAAUACUAUCAGGACUAAGUUCAUGAUAAAUUAAAGUUCAAUUAAUCAUAUUACUUAAGAACUCCCACUUAGAUAGACAUCCCUCUAAUCAUCUAAGUGAUCACGUGAUCCAAAUCAACUAAACCAUGUCCGAUCAUCACGUGAGAUGGAGUAGUUUUCAAUGGUGAACAUCAUUAUGUUGAUCAUAUCUACUAUAUGAUUCACGCUCGACCUUUCGGUCUCAGUGUUCCGAGGCCAUAUCUGUAUAUGCUAGGCUCGUCAAGUUUAACCUGAGUAUUCCGCGUGUGCAACUGUUUUGCACCCGUUGUAUUUGAACGUAGAGCCUAUCACACCCGAUCAUCACGUGGUGUCUCAGCACGAAGAACUUUUGCAACGGCGCAUACUCAGGGAGAACACUUAUAUCUUGAAAUUUAGUGAGAGAUCAUCUUAUAAAGCUACCGUCGAACUAAGAAAAAUAAGAUGUAUAAAAGAUAAACAUCAUAUGCAAUCAAAAUAUGUGACAUGAUAUGGCCAUGAUCAUCUUGCGCCUUUGAUCUCCAUCUCCAAAGUACUGUCAUGAUCUCCAUCGUCACCGGCAUGACACCAUGAUCUCCAUCAUCUUGAUCUAUAUCAAUGUGUCGUCACAUGGUCGUCUCACCAACUAUUGCUCUUGCAACUAUUGCUAUCGCAUAGCGAUAAAGUAAAGCAAUUAUUUGGUGCUUGCAUCUUAUGCAAUAAAGAGACAACGAUAAGGUUUCUGCCAGUUGCCGAUAACUUCAACAAAACAUGAUCAUCUCAUACAACAACUUAUAUCUCAUCAUGUCUUGACCAUAUCACAUCACAACAUGCCCUGCAAAAACAAGUUAGACGUCCUCUACUUUGUUGUUGCAAGUUUUACGUGGCUGCUACGGGCUGAGCAAGAACCGUUCUUACCUACGCAUCGAAACCACAACGAUAGUUCAUCAAGUUAGUGUUGUUUUAACCUUCUCAAGGACCGGGCGUAGUCACACUCGGUUCAACUAAAGUUGGAGAAACUGACACCCGCUAGUCACCUGUGUGCAAAGCACGGCGGUAAAACCAGUCUCGCGUAAGCGUACGCGUAAUGUCGGUCCGGGCCGCUUCAUCCAACAAUACCGCCGAACCAAAGUAUGACAUGCUGGUAAGCAGUAUGACUUGUAUCGUCCACAACCCACUUGUGCUCUACUUGUGCAUAUAACAUCUACGCAUAAAACCAGGCUCGGAUGCCACUGUUGGGGAACAUAGUAAUUUCCAAAAAUUUCCUACGCACACGCAAGAUCAUGGUGAUGCAUAGCAACGAGAGGGGGAGAGUGUUGUCCACGUACCCUCAUAGACCAAAAGCGGAAGCGUUAGAACAGUGAUGUAGUCGUACGUCUUCAUGGCCCGACCGAUCAAGCACCGAAAGUACGGAACCUCCGAGUUCUAGCACACGUUCAGCUCGAUGACGUCCCUCGAACUCCGAUCCAGCCGAGUGUCGAGGGAGAGUUCCGUCAGCACGACGGCGUGAUGACGGUGUUGAUGAUGCUACCGACGCAGGGCUUCGCCUAAGAACCACUACGAUAUUACCGAGGUGGAAUAUGGUGGAGGGGGGCACCGCACACGGCUAGGAGAGAUCAACAGAUCAACUUGUGUGUCUAGAGGUGCCCCCCUGCCACCGUAUAUAAAGGAUCAAGGGGGGAGGCGGCCGGCCUCGGAGGAGGGUGCGCCAAGGGGGGAGUCCUACUCCCACCGGGAGUAGGACUCCUCCUUUCCUUUUGGGAGUAGGAGAAGGGAAGGAAAAAGGAGAAAGAAGGAAGGGGGCGCCCCCCCUCCCUAGUCCAAUUCGGACCAGUCCAUGGGGAGGGGAGCGGCUGUUGGGGAACGUAGCAGAAAUUCAAAAUUUUCUUACGAGUCACCAAGAUCUAUCCAUGGAGAGACUAGCAACGAGGGGAAGGAGAGUGCAUCUACAUACCCUUGUAGAUCGCUAAGCGGAAGCGUUCAAGAGAACGGGGUUGAAGGAGUCGUACUCGUCGUGAUCCAAAUCACCGGAGAUCCUAGUGCCGAACGGACGGCACCUCCGCGUUCAACACACGUACAGCCCGAUGACGUCUCCCACGCCUUGAUCCAGCAAGGAGAGAGGGAGAGGUUGAGGAAGACUCCAACCAGCAGCAGCACAACGGCGUGGUGGUGAUGGAGGAGCGUGGUAGUCCAGCAGGGCUUCGCCAAGCACCGCGAGAUAUGAGGAGAAGGGAGAGAGGUAUGGCUGCGCCAACAGGAGAAGAAACUCAUGUGUUGGGCUGCUCCUAUGCCUCCAAUAUAUAUAGGGGGAGAGGGGGCUGCGCCCCCACCUAGGUUUCCACCCUAGGGGGCGGCGGCCAGCCCUAGAUCCCAUCUGGGGGGCGGCCAAGGGGUGGAGAGGGGGAAACUUGCCCCCCAAGCAAGGUGGGGCGCCCCCUCCCCAAACCCUAGGCGCCUUGGGCCUUGGUGGGAGGGCGCACCAGCCCACCUGGGGCUGGUCCCCUCUCACACUUGGCCCAUGCAGCCCUCUGGGGCCGGUGGUCCCACUUGGUGGACCCCCGGGACCCUCCCGGUGGUCCCGGUACGUUACCGAUAAAACCCGAAACUUUUCCGGUGACCAAAACAGGACUUCCCAUAUAUAAAUCUUUACCUCCGGACCAUUCCGGAACUCCUCGUGACGUCCGGGAUCUCAUCCGGGACUCCGAACAACAUUCGGUAACCACAUACAAGCUUCCUUUAUAACCCUAGCGUCAUCGAACCUUAAGUGUGUAGACCCUACGGGUUCGGGAGACAUGUAGACAUGACCGAGACGUUCUCCGAUCAAUAACCAACAGCGGGAUCUGGAUACCCAUGUUGGCUCCCACAUGUUCCACGAUGAUCUCAUCGGAUGAACCACGAUGUCAAGGACUCAGUCGAUCCCGUAUACAAUUCCCUUUGUCUAGCGGUAUUUUACUUGCCCGAGAUUCGAUCGUCGGUAUACCGAUACCUUGUUCAAUCUCAUUACCGGCAAGUCUCUUUUACUCGUUCUGUAACACAUCAUCCCGUGAUCAACCCCUUGGUCACACUGUGCACAUUAUGAUGAUGUCCUACCGAGUGGGCCCAGAUAUACCUCUCCGUUUACACGGAGUGACAAAUCCCAGUCUCGAUCCGUGUCAACCCAAAAGACACUUUCGGAGAUACCUGUAAUGCACCUUUAUAUUCACCCAGUUACGUUGUGACGUUUGAUACACCCAAAGCACUCCUACGGUAUCCGGGAGUUACACGAUCUCAUGGUCUAAGGAAGAGAUACUUGACAUUGGAAAAGCUCUAGCAAACGAACUACACGAUCUUUGUGCUAUGCUUAGGAUUGGGUCUUGUCCAUCACAUCAUUCUCCUAAUGAUGUGAUCCCGUUAUCAACGACAUCCAAUGUCCAUAGCCAGGAAACCAUGACUAUCUGUUGAUCACAACGAGCUAGUCAACUAGAGGCUCACUAGGGACAUAUUGUGGUCUAUGUAUUCACACGUGUAUUACGAUUUCCGGAUAAUACAGUUAUAGCAUGAAUAAAAGACAAUUAUCAUGAACAAGGAAAUAUAAUAAUACUUUUAUUAUUGCCUCUAGGGCAUAUUUCCAACAGUCUCCCACUUGCACUAGAGUCGAUAAUCUAGUUCACAUCGCCAUGUGAUUAACACUCACAGGUCACAUCGCCAUGUGACCAACAUCAUCAAAUGAGUUCUGGGGUUUGAUCAUGUUUUGCUUGUGAGAGAGGUUUUAGUCAACGGGUCUGAACCUUUCAGAUCCGUGUGUGCUUUGCAAAUUUUUAGGUCAUAUUGUAAAUGCUGCUUCCACGCUCCACUUGGAGCUAUUCCAAAUGGUUGCUCCACUAUAUGUAUCCGGUUUGCUACUCAGAGUCACUCGGAUAGGUGUUAAAGCUUGCAUCGACGUAACCCUUUACGCCAAACUCUUUAUCACCUCCAUAAUCGAGAAACAUGUCCUUAUUUACUUCAAGGACAAUUUUGACCGCUGUCCAAUGAUCCAUUCCUGGAUCAUUCUUGUACCCCUUGACUGACUCAUGGCGAGGCAAACUUCCAGUGCGGUACACAGCAUAGCAUACUAUAGAGCCUACGUCUGAAACAUAGGGGACGACCUUCGUCCUUUCUGCUGUGGUCGAGCUUUAAGUCUUAACUUCAUACCUUUCAACUCAGGCAAGAACUCCUUCUUGACUGAUCCAUCUUGAACACCUUCAAGAUCAUGUCAAGGUACGUGCUUAUUUGAAAGUACUAUUAAGCAUUUUGAUCUAUCUUAUAGAUCUUGAUGCUUAUUGUUCAAGUAGCCUAAUCCAAGUUUUCCAUUGAAAAAACACUUUUCAAAUAACCCUAUAUGCUUUCCAGAAAUUCCACAUCAUUUCUGAUCAACAAUAUGUCAAUAACAUAUACUCAUCAGAAAUUCUAUAGUGCUCCCACUCACUUCUUUGGAAAUACAAGUUUCUCAUAAACUUUUGUAUAAACCCAAAAUCUUUGAUCAUCUUAUCAAAGUACAUAUUCCAACUCCGAGAUGCUUACUCCAGCCCUUAGAAGGAUCGCUGGAGCCAGCAUACCUUUUAGCAUCCUUAGGAUCGACAAAAACUUUCGGAUUGUAUCACAUACAACCUUUCCUUAUGAAGAAUGGUAAGGAAAACUCGUUUUGACAUCCAUCUGCCAGAUUUCAUAAAUGCAGCUUGUGCUAACAUGAUUCCGACGGACUUAAGCAUCGCUACGGAUGAGAAAAUCUCAUCGUAGUCAACUCCUUGAACUUGUGGAAAAAAACUCUUCGCCACAAGUCGAGCUUCAUAGACGGUGACAUCACCGUCCACGUCCGUCUUCUUCUUAAAGAUCUAUUUAUCUUAAUGGCUUGCCGAUCAUCGGGCAAGUCCACCAAAGUCCAUGCUUUGUUCUGAUAUAUGGAUCCUAUCUCGGAUUUCAUGGCUUCUAACCAUUUGUCGGAAUUUGGGCCCACCAUCGCUUCUCCAUAGCUCAUAGGUUCAUUGUUGUCUAGCAACAUGACCUUCAAGACAGGAUUACUGUACCACUCUAAAGUAGUAUGCAUCCUUGUCACCCUACGAGGUACGGUAGUGACUUGAUCCGAAGUUUCAUGAUCACUAUCAUAAGCUUCUACUUCAAUUGGUGUAGGUGCCACAGGAACAACUUCCUAUGCCCUGCUACACACUGGUUGAAGUGAUGGUUCAGUAACCUCAUCAAGUCUCCACCAUCCUCCCACUCAACUUUUCGAGACAAACUUUUCCUCGAGAAAGGACCCGAUUCAAGAAACAAUCCCUAUUGUUUUCGGAUCUGAAUUAGGAGGUAUGCCCAACUGUUUUGGGUGUCCUAUGAAGAUGCAUUUUAUCCGCUUUGGGUUCGAGCUUAUCAACCUGAAACUUUUUCACAUAAGCGUCGCAGCCCCAAAUUUUUAAGAAAUGACAGCUUAGGUUUCUCUAAACCAUAGUUCAUACGGUGUCAUCUCAAUGAAAUUACGUGGUGCCCUAUUUAAAGUGAAUGUGGUUGUCUCUAAUGCCUAACCCAUGAACGAUAGUGGUAAUUCGACAAGAGAUAUCAUGGUACGCACCAUAUCCAAUAGGGUGCAACUAUGAUGUUCGGACACACCAUUACACUAUGGUGUUCCAGGCAGUAUUAAUUGUGAAACAAUUUCCACAAUGUCUUAAUUGCGUGCCAAAGCUCAUAACUCAGAUACUCAUCUCUAUGAUCAUAUCAUAGACAUUUUAUCCUCUUGUCACGAUGAUCUUCAACUUCACCUCUGAAAUUACUUGAACCAUUCAAUAAUUCAGACUUGUGUUUCAUCAAGUAAAUAUACUCAACAUCUACUCGAAUCAUCUGUGAAGUAAGAACAUAACGAUAUUCACUGCAUGCCUCAGCACUCAUUGGAAUGCACACAUCAAAAUGUGUUCCCUCCAACAAGUUGCUAUCUUGUUCCAUCUUACUGAAAAUGAGGCUUUUCAGUCAUCUUGCCAUGUGGUAUGAUUUGCAUAUCUCAAGUGAUUCAAAAUCAAGUGAGUCCAAACGAUCCAUCUGCAUGGAGUUUCUUCAUGCAUAUACACCAAUAGACAUGGUUCGCAUGUCUCAAACUUUUCAAAAACGAGUGAGUCCAAAGAUCCAUCAACAUGGAGCUUCUUCAUGUGUUUUAUACCAAUAUGACUUACAUGGCAGUGCCACAAGUGAGUGGUACUAUCAUUGCUAUCUUAUAUCUUUUGGCAUGAAAAUGUGUAUCACUACGAUCGAGAUUCAAUAAACCAUUCCUUUAGGUGCAAGACCAUUGAAGGUAUUAUUCAAAUAAAUAGAGUAACCAUUAUUCUCCUUAAAUGAAUGACCGUAUUGCGAUAGACAUAACACAAUCAUGUCUAUGCUCAACGCAAACACCAAAUCUCGAUGGUAGAGGGAGCGUGCAAUGCUUGAUCACAUCAACCUUGGAAACUCUUCCAACACAUAUCGUCAGCUCACCUUUAGCUAGUCUCCGUUUAUUCCGUAGCUUUUAUUUCGAGUUACUAACACUUAGCAACCGAACUGGUAUCUAAUACCCUGGUGCUACUAGGAGUACUAGUAAAGUACACAUUAACAUAAUGUAUAUCCAAUAUACUUCUAUCGACCUUGCCAGCCUUCUCAUCUACCAAGUAUCUAGGGUGGUUCCGCUUCAGUGCCCGUUCCUCUUAUUACAGAAGCACUUAGUCUCGGGUUUGGGUUCAACCUUGGGUUUCUUCACUAGAGCAGCAGCUGAUUUGCCGUUUCAUGAAGUAUCCCUUCUUGCCCUUGCCCUUCUUGAAACUAGUGGUUUCACCAACCAUCAACAAUUGAUGCUCCUUCUUGAUUUCUACUUUCGCGGUGUCAAACAUCACGAAUACCUCAAGGAUCAUCAUAUCUAUCCCUGAUAUGUUAUAGUUCAUCACGAAGCUCUAGCAGCUUGGUGGCAAUGACUUUGGAGAAACAUCACUAUCUCAUCUGGAAGAUCGACUCCCACUCGAUUCAAGUGAUUGUUGCAAUCAGACAAUCUGAGCACAAGCUCAACGAUUGAGCUUUUCUCCCUUAGUUUGCAGGCUAAGAAAAUCGUCGGAGGUCUCAUACCUCUUGACGUGGGCACGAGCCUGAAAUCUCAAUUUCAGCCCUCGAAACAUCUCAUAUGUUCCGCGACGUUUCGAAAAACAUCUUCGGUGCCUUAAUUCUAAACCGUUUAUCUGAACUAUCACGUAGUUAUCAAAACGUGUAUGUCCGAUGUUCGCAACAUCCACAAACGACGUUUGGGGUUCAGCACACUGAGCGGUGCAUUAAGGACAUGAGCUUUCUACUGUCCGCAUAAUCGCUACUGUCAACUUUCAACUAUAUUUUCUCUAGGAACAUAUCUAAACAGUGGAACUAAAGCGCGAGCUUACGACAUAAUUUGCAAAGAUCUUUUGACUAUGUUCAGGAUAAUUAAGUUCAUCUUAUGAACUCCCACUCAGAUAGACAUCCCUCUGGUCAUCUAAGUGAUUACAUGAUCCAAGUCAACUAGGCUGUGUCCGAUCAUCACAUGAGACGGACUAGUCAUCAUCGGUGAACAUCUUCAUGUUGAUCGUAUCUACUAUACGACUCAUGCUCGACCUUUCGGUCUCCGUGUUCCGAGGCCAUGUCUGUACAUGCUAGGCUCGUCAAGUUAACCCUAAGUGUUUUCGCUGUGUAAAACGGUCUUACACCCGUUGUAUGUGAACGUAAGAAUCCAUCACACCCGAUCAUCACGUGGUGCUUAGAAGCGACGAACUGUAGCAACGGUGCACAGUUAGGGGAGAACACUUCUUGAAAUUUUGUAAGGGAUCAUCUUAUUUACUACCGUAGUCCUAAGUAAACAAGAUGCAUAAACAUGAUAAACAUCACAUGCAAUCAAAUAGUGACAUGAUAUGGCCAAUAUCAUUUUGCUCCUUUUGAUCUCCAUCUUCGGGGCUCCAUGAUCAUCAUCGUCACCGGCAUAUGACACCGUGAUCUCCAUCAUCAUGAUCUCCAUCAUCGUGUCUUCAUGAAGUUGUCUCGCCAACUAUUACUUUUACUACUAUGGCUACCGGUUAGCAAUAAAGUAAAGUAAUUACAUGGCGUUGUUCAAUGACACGCAGGUCAUACAAUAAAUCAAGACAACUCCUAUGGCUCCUGCCGGUUGUCAUACUCAUCGACAUGCAAGUCGUGAUUCCUAUUACAAGAACAUGAUCAAUCUCAUACAUCACAUAUCAUUCAUCACAUUCUUCUUGGCCAUAUCACAUCACAUAGCAUACCCUGCAAAAACAAGUUAGACAUCCUCUAAUUGUUGUUUGCAUGUUUUACGUGGCUGCUAUGGGUUACUAGCAAGAACGUUUCUUACCUACGCAAAACCACAACGUGAUAUGCCAAUUGCUAUUUACCCUUCAUAAGGACCCUUUUCAUCGAAUCCGUUCCGACUAAAGUGGGAGAGACUGGCACCCGCUAGCCACCUUAUGCACCAAGUGCAUGUCAAUCGGUGGAACCUGUCUCGCGUAAGAGUACGUGUAAGGUCGGUCCGGGCCGCUUCAUCCCACAAUACCGUCGAAACAAGAUUGUAGUAACGGUAAGCAUAUUGAACAAAAUCAACGCCCACAACUACUUUGUGUUCUACUCGUGCAAAGAAUCUACGCAAUAGACCUAGCUCAUGAUGCCACUGUUGGGGAACGUAGCAGAAAUUCAAAAUUUUCCUACGAGUCACCAAGAUCUAUCCAUGGAGAGACUAGCAACGAGGGGAAGGAGAGUGCAUCUACAUACCCUUGUAGAUCGCUAAGCGGAAGAGUUCAAGAGAACGGGGUUGAAGGAGUCGUACUCGUCGUGAUCCAAAUCACCGGAGAUCCUAGUGCCGAACGGACGGCACCUCCGCGUUCAACACACGUACAACCCGAUGAUGUCUCCCACGCCUUGAUCCAGCAAGGAGAGAGGGAGAGGUUGAGGAAGACUCCAACCAGCAGCAGCACAACGGCGUGGUGGUUGUUGGACGUAGUAAUUUCAAAAAAAAUUCCUACGCACAUGCAAGAUCAUGGUGAUGCAUAGCAACGAGAGGGGAGUGUAUCUUCAUACCCUUGAAGAUCGCUAAGCGGAAGCGUUUAUCAACGUGGUUGAUGUAGUCGUACGUCUUCACGAUCCGACCGAUCCAAGUACCGAACGCACGGCACCUCCGAGUUCUGCACACGUUCAGCUCGAUGACGUCUUCGCCUUCUCGAUCCAGCAAGACGGGCGAAGUAGUAGAUGAGUUCCGGCAGCACGACGGCGUGGUGACGGUGUUGGUGAAGAACAAUCUCCGCAGGGCUUUGCCUAAGCGCUGCGGAAACUAUGAUGGAGGAUAAACUAGAGGGGACGGGGUUGCCGGCACACGGCUUGGUGUUUCUUGAUGUGUCUUUGGUGCUAGCCCUACCCCUCUAUUUAUAUGUCGAGCCUUGGGGUCGAAACUUGGAGUAAAAGCCUCCACAAAGUCGGUUUCACCCGAAAGGCAAGAGUCCUUCUCGGACUCCAGGGCCAGACGCCAGGGUUCCCGGCGUCUGGACCCAGACGCUAGGGACCCUGGCGUCUGGCCCCUGGACUCCGCAAAACUUCCUUUUGCGCUUUCCAAAAACCUUGUGGGCUUUCCCCUUUGGCCCAAAUAACGUGUUCUCGUACCCAAACAUUUCGGGAAACAUCCGGAACCCCUUCCGGUCAAUUCCGGAACCCUUCCGGAGAUCAAACACUAUUAUCCCAUAUAUCAAACUUUAUCUCCGGACCAUUCCGGAGUUCCUCGUCAUGUCCAUGAUCUCAUCUGGGACUCUGAACAACAUUCGGUUACCAACAUGCAUAACUCAUAUAAUACUAUAUCGUCAACGAAACGUUAAGCGUGCGGACCCUACGGGUUCGAGAACUAUGUAGACAUGACCGAGACACGUUUCCGGUCAAUAACCAAUAGCGGGACCUGGAUGCCCAUAUUGGCUCCCACAUGUUCUACGAAGAUCUUUAUCGGUCAAACCGCAUAACAACAUACGUUGUUCCCUUUGUCAUCGGUAUGUUACUUGCCCGAGAUUCGAUCGUCGGUAUCUCAAUACCUAGUUCAAUCUCGUUACCGGCAAGUCUCUUUACUCGUUCUGUAAUGCAUCAUCCCGUAACCAACUCAUUGGUCACAUUGCUUGCAAGGCUUAUAAUGAUGUGCAUUACCGAGAGGGCCCAGAGAUACCUCUCCGAUGAUCCGAGUGACAAAUCCUAAUCUCGAAAUACGCCAACCCAACAAGUACCUUUGGAGACACCUGUAGAGCACCUUUAUAAUCACCCAGUUACGUUGUGACGUUUGGUAGCACACAAAGUGUUCCUCCGGUAAACGGGAGUUGCAUAAUCUCAUAGUCAUAGGAACAUGUAUAAGUCAUGAAGAAAGCAAUAGCAACAUACUAAACGAUCGGGUGCUAAGCUAAUGGAAUGGGUCAUGUCAAUCAGAUCAUUCAACUAAUGAUGUGAUCUUGUUAAUCAAAUAACAACUCUUUGUUCAUGGUUAGGAAACAUAACCAUCUUUGAUUAACAAGCUAGUCAAGUAGAGGCAUACUAGUGACACUCUGUUUGUCUAUAUAUUCACACAUGUAUUAUGUUUCCGGUUAAUACAAUUCUAGCAUGAAUAAUAAACAUUUAUCAUGAUAUAAGGAAAUAAAUAAUAACUUUAUUAUUGCCUCUAGGGCAUAUUUCCUUCAGUCUCCCACUUGCACUAGAGUCAAUAAUCUAGAUCACAUCACCAUGUGAUUCACAUCGAUAGUUCACAUCAUCAUGUGAUUAGCACCCAUAGUUCACAUCGCCAUGUGACCAACAUCCAAAGUGUUUACUAGAUUCAGUAAUCUAGUUCACAUCGCUAUGUGAUUAACACCCAAAGAGUACUUAGGUGUGAUCAUGUUUUGCUUGUGAGAGAAUCUUAGUCAACGGGUCUUUCACAUUCAGAUCCGUUAUGUAUUUUGCAAUUUUUUAUGUCUACAAUGCUCUGCACGGAGCUACUCUAGCUAAUUGCUCCCACUUUCAAUAUGUGUCUAGAUCGAGACUUAGAGUCAUCCAGAUCGGUGUCAAAACUUGCAUCGACGUAACCCUUUACGACGAACCUUUUGUCAUUUCCAUAAUCGAGAAACAUAUCCUUAUUCCACUAAGGAUAAUUUUGACCGCUGUCCAGUGAUCUACUCCUAGAUCACUAUUGUACUCCCUUGCCAAACUCAGUGCUGGGUAUACAAUAGAUCUGGUACAUAGCAUGGCAUACUUUAUAGAACCUAUGGCCAAGGCAUAGGGAAUGACUUUCAUUCUCUUUCUAUCUUCUGCCGUGGUCGGGUUUUGAGUCUUACUCAAUUUCACACCUUGUAACACAGGCAAGAACUCUUUCUUUGACUGUUCCAUUUUGAACUACUUCAAAAUCUUGUCAAGGUAUGUACUCAUUGAAAAAACUUAUCAAGCGUCUUGAUCUAUCUCUAUAGAUCUUGAUGCUCAAUAUGUAAGCAGCUUCACCGAGGUCUUUCUUUGAAAAACUCCUUUCAAACACUCCUUUAUGCUUUGUAGAAUAAUUCUACAUUAUUUCCGAUCUACAAUAUGUCAUUCACAUAUACUUAUCAGAAAUGCUGUAGUGCUCCCACUCACUUUCUAGUAAAUACAGGCUUCACCGUAAGUCUGUAUAAAACUAUAUGCUUUGAUCAACUCAUCAAAGCGUAUAUUCCAACUCCGAGAUGCUUGCACCAGUCCAUAGAUGGAUCGCUGGAGCUUGCACACUUUGUUAGCUCCCUUUGGAUCGAUAAAACCUUCUGGUUGCAUCAUAUACAACUCUUCCUCCAGAAACCCAUUCAGGAAUGCAGUUUUUACAUCCAUUUGCCAAAUUUCAUAAAUUGUGGCAAUUGCUAACAUGAUUCGGACAGACUUAAGCAUCGCUACAGUUGAGAAAAUCUCAUUGUAGUCAACACCUUGAACUUGUCAAAAACCUUUUUGCGACAAGUCGAGCUUUGUAGAUAGUAACACUACUAUCAACGUCCGUCUUCCUCUUGAAUAUCCAUUUAUACAAUAUGGCUUGCCGAUCAUCGGGCAACUCCACCAAAGUCCACACUUUGUUCUCAUACAUGGAUCCCAUCUCAGAUUUUAUGGCCUCAAGCCAUUUCGCGGAAUCUGGGCUCAUCAUCGCUUCCUCAUAGUUCGUAGGUUCAUCAUGGUCUAGUAACAUGACUUCCAGAAUAGGAUUACCGUACCACUCUGGUGCGGAUCUUACUCUGGUUGAUCUACGAAGUUCAGUAACAACUUGAUCUGAAGUUUUAUGAUCAUCAUCAUUAACUUCCUCACUAAUUGGUGUAGGUGUCACAGGAACCAAUUUCUGUGAUGAACUACUUUCCAAUAAGGGAGCUAGUACUGUUACCUCAUCAAGUUCUACUUUCCUCCCACUCACUUCUUUCGAGAGAAACUCCUUCUCUAGAAAGGAUCCAUUUUUAGCAACGAAUGUCUUGCCUUCGGAUCUGUGAUAGAAGGUGUACCCAACAGUCUCCUUUGGGUAUUCUAUGAAGACGCACUUUUCCGAUUUGGGUUUGAGCUUAUCAGGAUGAAACUUUUUCACAUAAGCAUUGCAGCCCCAAACUUUAAGAAACGACAACUUUGGUUUCUUGCUAAACCACAGUUCAUAUAGUGUCGUCUCAACGGAUUUAGAUGGUGCCCUAUUUAACGUGAAUGCAGUUGUCUCUAAUGCAUGAUCCCAAAACGAUAUUGGUAAAUCGGUAAGAAACAUCAUAGAUUGUACUAUAUCCAAUAAAGUACGGUUAUGACGUUCGGACACACCAUUAUGAUGUGGUGUUUCAGGUGGCAUGAAUUUGUGAAACUAUUCCACAUUGUUUUAAUUGAAGACCAAACUCGUAACUCAAAUAUUUGUCUCCGCGAUCAGAUUGUAGAAACUUUAUUUUUCUUGUUACGAUGAUUUUUCCACUUCACUCUGAAAUUCUUUGAACCUUUCAACUAUUUCAGACUUAUGUUUCAUCAAGUAGAUAUCCUCAUAUCUGCUCAAAUCAUCUGUGAAGGUCAGAAAAUAACGAUACCCGCCGCGAGCCUUAACACUCAUCGGAUCGCAUACAUCAGUAUGUAUUAUUUCCAAUAAGUCAGUUGCUCGCUCCACUGUUCCAGAGAAUGGAGUCUUAGUCAUCUUGCCCAUGAGGCAUGGUUCGCAAGCAUCAAGUGAUUCAUAAUCAAGUGAUUCCAAAAUCCCAUCAGCAUGGAGUUUCUUCAUGCGCUUUACACCGAUAUGACCUAAACGGCA